rnacentral:rRNA from 1 species
GAUGAACGCUGGCGGCGUGCCUAAUACAUGCAAGUCGAGCGAACAGAUAAGGAGCUUGCUCCUUUGACGUUAGCGGCGGACGGGUGAGUAACACGUGGGUAACCUACCUAUAAGACUGGGAUAACUUCGGGAAACCGGAGCUAAUACCGGAUAACAUUUGGAACCGCAUGGUUCUAAAGUGAAAGAUGGUUUUGCUAUCACUUAUAGAUGGACCCGCGCCGUAUUAGCUAGUUGGUAAGGUAACGGCUUACCAAGGCGACGAUAUGUAGCCGACCUGAGAGGGUGAUCGGCCACACUGGAACUGAGACACGGUCCAGACUCCUACGGGAGGCAGCAGUAGGGAAUCUUCCGCAAUGGGCGAAAGCCUGACGGAGCAACGCCGCGUGAGUGAUGAAGGGUUUCGGCUCGUAAAACUCUGUUAUUAGGGAAGAACAAACGUGUAAGUAACUGUGCACGUCUUGACGGUACCUAAUCAGAAAGCCACGGCUAACUACGUG